rnacentral:rRNA from 1 species
AUACGUAGGGAGCAAACGUUGUCCGGAUUUAUUGGGCGUAAAGGGCUCGUAGGCGGUUCAACAAGUCGGUCGUGAAAGCCCGGGGCUCAACCCCGGGACGCCGGUCGAAACUGUUGUGACUAGAGUUCGGUAGAGGUGAGUGGAAUUCUCGGUGUAGCGGUGGAAUGCGCAGAUAUCGAGAGGAACACCAUUAGCGAAGGCGGCUCACUGGGCCGAUACUGACGCUGAGGAGCGAAAGCGUGGGGAGCAAACAGGAUUAGAAACCCCAGUAGUCC